rnacentral:sRNA from 1 species
GCAGGUGAAUGCAACGUCAAGCGAUGGGCGUUGCGCUCCAUAUUGUCUUACUUCCUUUUAUUUGAAUUACUGCAUAGCACAUUGAUUCGUACAAGCCGGGGAUUCCCGGCUUUU